CCUACGGGGGGCAGCAGUGAGGAAUAUUGGUCAAUGGGCGGGAGCCUGAACCAGCCAAGUCGCGUGAGGGAAGAAGGUACUGAGUAUUGUAAACCUCUUUUGCCAGGGGACAAAGGCGGCCACGGGUGGCCGUAAGAGGGUACCUGGAGAAAAAGCAUCGGCUAACUCCGUGCCAGCAGCCGCGGUAAUACGGAGGAUGCGAGCGUUAUCCGGAUUUAUUGGGUUUAAAGGGUGCGUAGGCGGGACCUUAAGUCAGCGGUAAAAUUGCGGUGCUCAACGCCGUAGAGCCGUUGAAACUGGGGUUCUUGAGUGAGCGAGAAGUAUGCGGAAUGCGUGGUGUAGCGGUGAAAUGCAUAGAUAUCACGCAGAACCCCGAUUGCGAAGGCAGCAUACCGGCGCUCAACUGACGCUGAGGCACGAAAGUGCGGGUAUCGAACAGGAUUAGAUACCCGAGUAGUC
rnacentral:rRNA from 1 species